rnacentral:tRNA from 1 species
GAGAAAUCGUGAGGGKUCAAGUCCCUCUUUCCCCAAA